rnacentral:rRNA from 1 species
GAUGAACGCUGGCGGCGUGCCUAAUACAUGCAAGUCGAGCGAACGGACGAGAAGCUUGCUUCUCUGAUGUUAGCGGCGGACGGGUGAGUAACACGUGGAUAACCUACCUAUAAGACUGGGAUAACUUCGGGAAACCGGAGCUAAUACCGGAUAAUAUUUUGAACCGCAUGGUUCAAAAGUGAAAGACGGUCUUGCUGUCACUUAUAGAUGGAUCCGCGCUGCAUUAGCUAGUUGGUAAGGUAACGGCUUACCAAGGCAACGAUGCAUAGCCGACCUGAGAGGGUGAUCGGCCACACUGGAACUGAGACACGGUCCAGACUCCUACGGGGGGCAGCAGUAGGGAAUCUUCCGAAAUGGGCGAAAGCCUGACGGAGCAACGCCGCGUGAGUGAUGAAGGUCUUCGGAUCGUAAAACUCUGUUAUUAGGGAAGAACAUAUGUGUAAGUACUGUGCACAUCUUGACGGUACCUAAUCAGAAAGCCACGGCUAACUACGUG